UCCGGAUUUAUUGGGCGUAAAGCGAGCGCAGGCGGUUCAUUAAGUCCGAUGUGAAAGCCAGGGGCUCAACCAUGGGAAUGCAGUGGAAACUGGGUGACUUGAGUGUGGUAGAGGAGAGUGGAAUUCCCGGUGUAGCGGUGAAAUGCGUAGAGAUCGGAAGGAACACCGGUGGCGAAGGCGGCUCUCUGGGCCAACACUGACGCUGAGGCGCGAAAGCGUGGGGAGCAAACAGGAUUAGAUACCC
rnacentral:rRNA from 1 species